GACGAACGCUGGCGGCGUGCCUAAUACAUGCAAGUAGAACGCUGAAGGAGGAGCUUGCUUCUCUGGAUGAGUUGCGAACGGGUGAGUAACGCGUAGGUAACCUGCCUGGUAGCGGGGGAUAACUAUUGGAAACGAUAGCUAAUACCGCAUAAUAGUAGAUGUUGCAUGACAUUUGCUUAAAAGGUGCAAUUGCAUCACUACCAGAUGGACCUGCGUUGUAUUAGCUAGUUGGUGAGGUAACGGCUCACCAAGGCGACGAUACAUAGCCGACCUGAGAGGGUGAUCGGCCACACUGGGACUGAGACACGGCCCAGACUCCUACGGGAGGCAGCAGUAGGGAAUCUUCGGCAAUGGACGGAAGUCUGACCGAGCAACGCCGCGUGAGUGAAGAAGGUUUUCGGAUCGUAAAGCUCUGUUGUAAGAGAAGAACGAGUGUGAGAGUGGAAAGUUCACACUGUGAC
rnacentral:rRNA from 1 species